rnacentral:rRNA from 1 species
ACAUGCCUACAAAAUAGCAUUAAUGCACCAAAUCCCAUUAGAACUCUACAGUUAAGCAUUCUCAGGCUAGAGUAGUACUAGGAUGGCUGACCACCCAAUAAGUCUUAGUGUUUUACAUGCC